GCUCAGACCUGGUGUGGCUGUGGCUGUGGCGUAGGGCAGCAGCUAUAUCUCUAUAGCUCCAAUUCAAGCCCUAGCCCGGGAACUUCCAUGUGCCACAGGUGUGCCCCCCCCCCCAAUGUUUAUUUAGUUACUUAAGUUAGUCAAGGAGUUUAAAAAAAAAAAACCAAAAUUUAAUAUUUUGAUAGUCAUCCCCAGUUAUUUUCUUCCUAUUUAAGAACAAAGUGGUAAUGUCAAUUGUCUUUGUUGAUUUAAAGAAAAAAAAAAAAAAAGAAUCACAAGGAGCUGACUCAACUGGAGUGAUCUAUUUGGAUGCACUACUUCUUAUCUUUCAAUACAGACUUAUUUUCUGGAUUAUCUCAGAUGAAAAUAGUAUUGCUAGACAUUUGUUGACUGUUGUGACAGUAUGGAUUUACACAAACGCUAAGAAGAGUUGAUCCACAGUAUUUUUUAGGAUGACUACCUGCAAAAGAGGGAAGGUGUUUGCUCUGGUGUCAGUAGGUGAGUAAGACCUUUAUAAUCAAAAUUCAUAUAAUAAUUUUGUAUACCACGGCCAUUCCUGUUUAUUUCUAAGAUAUGUUAUAUUUACACUUAUGUAUUACUCUCCUGCUUUUGGAUGGAAUUCUCUGUAUCAAUUAAGAUCAUUUGGUCUAAUGUGUCAUUU